GCCUACGGGGGGCAGCAGUGGGGAAUAUUGCACAAUGGGGGGAACCCUGAUGCAGCGACGCCGCGUGAGUGAAGAAGUAUUUCGGUAUGUAAAGCUCUAUCAGCAGGGAAGAAAAUGACGGUACCUGACUAAGAAGCCCCGGCUAACUACGUGCCAGCAGCCGCGGUAAUACGUAGGGGGCAAGCGUUAUCCGGAUUUACUGGGUGUAAAGGGAGCGUAGACGGUUAUGCAAGUCUGAAGUGAAAGCCCAAGGCCCAACCACGGGACUGCUUUGGAAAC
rnacentral:rRNA from 1 species